GACAGAGGAUGCAAGCGUUAUCCGGAAUGAUUGGGCGUAAAGCGUCUGUAGGUGGCUUUUCAAGUCCGCCGUCAAAUCCCAGGGCUCAACCCUGGACAGGCGGUGGAAACUGCCAAGCUGGAGUACGGUAGGGGCAGAGGGAAUUUCCGGUGGAGCAGUGAAAUGCGUAGAGAUGUGGAGGAACACCGAUGGCGAAGGCAGCCUCCUGGGCCAGCACUGACGCUCAUGCACGAAAGCGUGGGGAGCAAACAGG
rnacentral:rRNA from 1 species